UACGUAGGGUGCGAGCGUUAAUCGGAAUUACUGGGCGUAAAGCGUGCGCAGGCGGUUUUGUAAGCCAGAUGUGAAAUCCCCGGGCUUAACCUGGGAAUGGCAUUUGGGACUGCAAGGCUGGAGUGUGGCAGAGGAGACUGGAAUUCCUGGUGUAGCAGUGAAAUGCGUAGAUAUUCGGAGGAACACCAGUGGCGAAGGCGGCUCACUGGUCCAUUACUGACGCUGAGGUGCGAAAGCGUGGGGAGCAAACAGG
rnacentral:rRNA from 1 species